rnacentral:rRNA from 1 species
AGCGUAGGCGGACUUUUAAGUGAGAUGUGAAAUACUCGGGCUCAACUUGAGUGCUGCAUUUCAAACUGGAAGUCUAGAGUGCAGGAGAGGAGAAUGGAAUUCCUAGUGUAGCGGUGAAAUGCGUAGAGAUUAGGAAGAACACCAGUGGCGAAGGCGAUUCUCUGGACUGUAACUGACGCUGAGGCUCGAAAGCGUGGGGAGCAAACAGGAUUAGAUACCCCCGUA